AUUGAACGCUGGCGGCAGGCCUAACACAUGCAAGUCGAGCGGAUGACGGGAGCUUGCUCCUUGAUUCAGCGGCGGACGGGUGAGUAAUGCCUAGGAAUCUGCCUGGUAGUGGGGGACAACGUUUCGAAAGGAACGCUAAUACCGCAUACGUCCUACGGGAGAAAGCAGGGGACCUCCGGGCCUUGCGCUAUCAGAUGAGCCUAGGUCGGAUUAGCUAGGAGGUGAGGUAAUGGCGCACCUAGGCGACGAUCCGUAACUGGUCUGAGAGGAUGAUCAGUCACACUGGAACUGAGACACGGUCCAGACUCCUACGGGAGGCAGCAGUGGGGAAUAUUGGACAAUGGGCGAAAGCCUGAUCCAGCCAUGCCGCGUGUGUGAAGAAGGUCUUCGGAUUGUAAAGCACUUUAAGUUGGGAGGAAGGGCAGUAAGUUAAUACCUUGCUGUUUUGACGUUACCGACAGAAUAAGCACCGGCUAACUCUGUGCCAGCCGCCGCCGUAACAC
rnacentral:rRNA from 1 species